rnacentral:tRNA from 1 species
GGAGAGGUCGCAUAGCCUGGUUGAUUGCACCGGUCUUGAAAACCGGAAGGGGACUUGUUUCCCUCGCGAGUUCGAAUCUCGCCCUCUCCG